UUUGGGAAGCAACGUUCUUUCUUUGUGGCACCUCACCAACAAUUCCAAACAACAGCUCCCGAGGAAUCCCGGUGCUCCACUUGCCAGCAACAAACUGCCGUCGCCAUGCCAACAGCACGACUCUCUAACUCUCGGCUCUCCAGGACUCAACAGACAGGAAUAAAGUCAAACGCUCUUACCUUGCAGUCUUGGAUGCAACUUUUCACCGAGUAUUCUGCCGAUUGCAAAUACUUCUGAAACAAGACCUGGAACUCCUCGUAUUUCUCCUGGGCGUGCUGGUCCAAUCGCUGAAGCUGUCAGACCUCCUCAGUAUUCCCAGCAGCUUCUGUUUCUUUAACAGAAAUAACAGCAAAGGUAUUAAGGAAUAUGGACCAUAAAUGGGGAGGCGAGUCCCGGAGCAGUACGAGGUGAACAAACCCUGGAGCAGUGCGAUGGGAAGCGAGUUCCUGUACAGAGUGAGGAGAAGCAUGUCCCAGAGCAGUGCAACUUACCUUGGUACAGCUGAAUACUGGUGCGGAGUGGACUGGAGGUUUGAAGUGGAGCAGGACUGUUGUUGGGGCCUGGCUCGGGUGGUUAGACCAUGUGCUCACUGAGCUGCUGCAAUGUAAAUUUGAUCUGAAAUUCUUAACCGGGCUGUAAUGUUAAUUUUUAAUUAUGUCAUAACUAUCUUACUUCUAACUUUUUUUAGACACUGUAAGUGAUACUACUUUACUUUUCCUUUUAUUCCUCAAUUCUAUCCAAGAUUUGUACAUCGGUACGUGAACCUAAAAUGGCGCCAUUAGAGGCAGCCAUUGUAAAAACUUUUCGCUGUACUUCUGCACUUCUAUGUGGGAGUACAUGUGACAAUAAAGGAUAUUCUAUUCUAUUUUAUGGAGUUAGACCAAAGAUCAAUAGUGGAACUGGCUCAAAGGACUGAAUGGCCUACUCUGGUUCCUAUGGUGCUCUUGGAAACAAAUAUUUGCAGAUUAUAAUUCAUUGGAUUUUGUUUAAUAGAGAAGCGUA